GAAAGCAAUCCUUCUUUUGCUGCCCAGACCACUUCAUAAAGAAGAUACAGAUCUUCCCCUUGUCUGUUAUUCAGCACAUCUUCAACAGCUGAAGGAGGCCUUGGUGCCACGUAAGCAAAGAGCAGGAAAGCUCAUGCACAAGGUCCCUCCAUGCCACAUCACUCUGUCAUGAGAGAACUUUGGCAGGAGCAAGGCAUUAAAUGGUUUGUACAAGGCUGCCUUUAUGCAUUCGCAGGUGUCUAAGUUGAGGUAUGCAGGGAAUUUCAUAGACCAGCCUGGAUCUUGUUUUCAGUCACAUAUCAAAAUGCGUGCCAUGCCUACUUAGCAUGAAAAACAUGCCAAACAUGGAAGCAAUGAAAGUCUGAAUAGGAGAAUAUCACCUUUUAAAAACCAUUAAUAAAGUUUUCAAAAAUAAAAAUAAGUAGAAUUCAUUACCCUAAAAUGUAGCCUUUAAUCUUUUCAAGGCUGGCAUGAGCCCUAACCAUAGGUUUUGGAGUAAUUAAAUGAUCAUAUAAUACUAAAAUGAUUAUGUGGGCUUUCACAACCAAAUUUUAGACCUGUUGGGCUUUUCAGUAUGAUCUAAUGGCUGGUGCACAGAAGCUGUUGUUAAGACUCCCAGGCUCUGUUUCUCCUUUCUGCCAAGAUUUACAGCUAAUGAGAUGCUAUUUUCUGCACUGCCUGGCUAGUGCAAAACUGUAUUUGUUAAGGGUUGUUUUUAUGAGCUAAGAUUUACAGUUUCUAACGAUCACAUGCAAAGUAAACCUUUUAUUUACUUAACCACUAUGAAAAACUGCAUGUAACAAAAUCAUCAUAUAAUUCUUGCUGCAGAAACAUAGCUGCUUUACGGCCACUGUGAUUUUUUUAGACUUAUACAAAGAACCAAAUCUUGUCACCUUUGCUUAUGCUGAGUGGAAUCUUUGCAAGCAGUCCUGUAGAGAUGAUUUUUCAGUUUCAUGAAUAAUUUUCUGAGACUUUGGUGGAAAAGAAGUCUGAAAACUGAAAAAAGUGGAAUGAACAACAUUUUCAGAGCCAAGGAGCAAAUUGGUCUUUUCUGUUCAGACCAUUGUUUGGAUUUGGGCGUAUCCCAAACAACUGCAGCCACUCGAACCAAGGGAAGAGGACCCCUACCAGGUGGAUUCCCAAAGGAAAUGUGGUGGAGUUCCCAGGCCACCACAAAGAAGAGGUCUGCUGCUCCUGUUGCCCCUAAAUGUGUACUCAAGACACUUGUCUUCUUUUCUGUUCAUGUCGUGUUUCACUUGACUCCCAGGCAGCCAUGGAAAGGUUUUUCCAAAUGCAUACUCUCCUCACAGAUAUGA
rnacentral:lncRNA from 1 species